rnacentral:tRNA from 1 species
CAAAGAGUAGCUUAAAACAAAGCACUCAACUUACAAUUGAGAGACGUUAAUAACCAUAACCUCUUUGC